GAUAGGUGGGACUAGGAGUCAAGGAGGAUUUUGGGAAAUGUAGUAAAGAAGUGGUGAUCCCGGAAGUGACAUAGUGGGUAGACUCAUACAUAAGCAAGGGCAAGAAGGAAGUCGCCCCUUUUCCCUCCUGUCUUCCUCCUGGUCUCUGCUGCAGAAUCACCAUGUGAGCCCAGGAAAACAAGAUGCUUGUCACUGGCAUCCAAUAAGAUAAGUCUUAUAUGUAGAAUUAUGACAAUUAAGACUGAGCUAGCAGAUGAGAAAUCCUAGUCAUUGGCCAAGCAGCAUUUGCACCUAAUAUAAGUCUCUGUUUGUUACUUGGUACCUGAACGCAGCAGUGGUCAUAACUCGGGUGGCUGGUGAAAGGCACCCAUGUGGCAGCAGGGCAGGGGUGGCUGCGGCAGAAAGACUUAUUGUUACAGAAUGGUGUCAGUGAGUGGAAUGACCCCAUGCCCCGAGAUUCCCAGAGGAAGAGGGGAACCUGCCACUGCAGCCAAUCUCUUUUUAAAGGAAAAGAAGGGGAAUAGGAUAUGGAGAUGAAUACUUUUCAUUGUGAGACACAACUGCUCCUGGCACACCAAUUACAUCAAAAAGGAGGGUGGGCAUUGAAGAAACUCGUUAUGGAGUUUGCCUUCAACAUGGCAAAAUUAGCCAUUUGGGCAAGAAACUGCUCUUGCCUGGACUGUUGCUGUAUAAACUGGACAUACAGGACCCACAAAAAAGUGACUGCUGAACUUACAAAACAAGUCAGUAGUGAAGGGUUCCUCCUGAAAUGGAGAAGUGUUCCAGACACACUGGCCUAUGAGCUGAAGAUGGAUAUCCCAAUGUUACAGAGGAACUUUGGGUGA
rnacentral:lncRNA from 1 species